GAGUAUUAGCUCUUUUAGAAUUUGUCUAGGAGGUUUUCUGGCUCAUAAUGGAAAUCAGCCCUC
rnacentral:snRNA from 1 species